rnacentral:rRNA from 1 species
UACGAAGGGUGCAAGCGUUACUCGGAAUUACUGGGCGUAAAGGGUGCGUAGGUGGUUUGUUCAGUCUGCUGUGAAAUCCCCGGGCUCAACCUGGGAAUGGCAGUGGAUACUGGCAAGCUAGAGUGCGGUAGAGGGUAGUGGAAUUCCCGGUGUAGCAGUGAAAUGCGUAGAGAUCGGGAGGAACACCAGUGGCGAAGGCGGCUACCUGGACCAGCACUGACACUGAAGCACGAAAGCGUGGGGAGCAAACAGG